AUGGUGGCCACAGCCAACAACCGUCAGACCUUUGUCAACUCAGCCACUGCAUUUCUGCAUAAAUACAACUUUGAUGGCUCAACCUUGACUGGAGUACCCGGGAAGCCGGGGGAGCCCUCCCUUGGACAAGCAGCGCUUCACAGCUCUGGUGCAGGACCUGGCCAGUGCCUUCCAGCAGGAAGCACGGAUCUCAGGGAAGGAGCGCCUCCUUCUGAGUGCAGCUGUCCCUGCAGGGCAAACGUACACAGAUGCUGGAUAUGAAGUGGACAGAAUUGCUCAGUGCCGGCAUGGGUGACAAGCUGUGUUCAGGAAGGCACAGGCCAAGGGUCUGGGGUCUGUGACAGACUCAGGACCAGGUGGAGCAAGGUGAGGGUAGGGUGACAAGGGACAUGGCGACUGGUGUGGGGGAGGUGCAGGUCGGUGCUGAAUGCUGGGACGGCUGAGCUGCUGGGUCCCGAAGGGUGAGCCCGACGUCCCAGUUCCCUAGGCUGCCAUCAGCCACCAGGUGGCAGCAGGGGACAGGAGGCAAGGCCAGAACUCCAGACUCAGGAAUGUCUGUUUGGGGGCUCCGAUGUUCCCUUGCUCCAUGAGAACAGGCCUGUGACAGUCGGUCUCCCCAAGACCCUACACUUGCCUGGCUGUGCUGGCCACAGAAGGAAGGUAGGUCUCAGGCUGUGGCCCCUCUUCACUUCCUGAGGUGACACGGUGACCCUGCCAGGCCUCAGGGAUGGCCCUGACCCACCCCUCAGGCCCUCUCAGGCCCACCUUCUAUCCCAGGGACACUGCUGCCACUUGAGGCCUCUGGCAUCCCUGGGCCCGUCUCCCAGCAGCCAGAUCCACAGGCCGCAGGAAACCCCUCACCCCACCCCCGCUGCCACACCUGCCCCAGCAGAGCCCUGCAGCCUGAGUCCCUGGGCUCCCAGCUGGAUGCUGACCCCAGAGCCUGCCGCUCGCAACCACAGCCAGCGUGGCCAGAGGCCCUCAGCACCGCAGCCCCCUGCCCUUCUUACUGACCAGGCUCACGUGGUCCUCACCUAGUGCACUCGCCC